rnacentral:piRNA from 1 species
GUGCCACGGUGGAGGUCAGAGAACGACCUG